rnacentral:rRNA from 1 species
UARCAAACUAUACAGUGAAACUGCGAAUGGCUCAUUAAAUCAGUUAUCGUUUAUUUGAUAGUACCUUACUACUUGGAUAACCGUGGUAAUUCUAGAGCUAAUACAUGCUAAAAAUCCCGACCUCUGGAAGGGAUGUAUUUAUUAGAUAAAAAACCAAUGGCUUCGGCCUCCUUGGUGAUUCAUGAUAACUUAACGAAUCGCAUGGCCUUGUGCCGGCGAUGGUUCAUUCAAAUUUCUGCCCUAUCAACUUUCGAUGGUAGGAUAGUGGCCUACCAUGGUUUCAACGGGUAACGGGGAAUUAGGGUUCUAUUCCGGAGAGGGAGCCUGAGAAACGGCUACCACAUCCAAGGAAGGCAGCAGGCGCGCAAAUUACCCAAUCCCGACACGGGGAGGUAGUGACAAUAAAUACUGAUACAGGGCCCUUUCGGGUCUUGUAAUUGGAAUGAGUACAAUUUAAAUCCCUUAACGAGGAACAAUUGGAGGGCAAGUCUGGUGCCAGCAGCCGCGGUAAUUCCAGCUCCAAUAGCGUAUAUUAAAGUUGUUGCAGUUAAAAAGCUCGUAGUUGAACCUUGGGUCUGGCUGGCCGGUCUGCCUCACCGCAUGCACUGGUCCGGCCGGACCUUUCCUUCUGGCUAACCUCAUGCCCUUUACUGGGUGUGUUGGGGAACCAGGACUUUUACUUUGAAAAAAUUAGAGUGUUCAAAGCAGGCAUUUGCUCGAAUACAUUAGCAUGGAAUAAUAGAAUAGGACGUGCGGUUCUAUUUUGUUGGUUUCUAGGAUCGUCGUAAUGAUUAAUAGGGAUAGUCGGGGGCAUCCGUAUUCAAUUGUCAGAGGUGAAAUUCUUGGAUUUAUUGAAGACGAACUACUGCGAAAGCAUUUGCCAAGGAUGUUUUCAUUAAUCAGGAACGAAAGUUGAGGGAUCGAAGACGAUCAGAUACCGUCGUAGUCUCAACCAUAAACUAUGCCGACUAGGGAUCGGGCGAUGUACUAUUCGUGACUCGCUCGGCACCUUACGAGAAAUCAAAGUCUUUGGG